rnacentral:rRNA from 1 species
UACGUAGGGCGCAAGCGUUGUCCGGAAUUAUUGGGCGUAAAGAGCUCGUAGGCGGUUUGUCGCGUCUGCUGUGAAAACCUAAGGCUCAACCUUGGGCUUGCAGUGGGUACGGGCAGACUAGAGUGCGGUAGGGGUGACUGGAAUUCCUGGUGUAGCGGUGAAAUGCGCAGAUAUCAGGAGGAACACCGAUGGCGAAGGCAGAUCUCUGGGCCGUAACUGACGCU